AUAGCUGCUAUUCCUGGUGCGCGAGGGUCCACCCAGCUCUGGCUUCAGUUGAGCUUCUGACUGGGGAGAGGCCCCAGCAGCCUGGCAUCGUUUUUUUGGGGAAAUGGCUGACUAGUUCUUUGACUGGGUGGGGCUGUUUUCCAGGCUGCACGAAAAGAGCCUCACCCCUGCUGCUCCGAGGCCGGGCUUCUCCCUGCAGAGCCUGGGUCAGCUCAGCUGGGAUUCCAGGGCCGACCAAUUUGGUCACGAGGGUUGCUCUAACUCACUGUUCGGGAAACUCAGCCCCGGAAAACAAAACUGUGUUGCGAGAUUUCUUCAUUCCUUGGUUUGCACACCAUCAAAUUACUCAUGAGUUUAAUGUAAUUUGAGCUUUUCUCUCAGAUGACACCCAUGGCAAAUACACAGAGGAGCCAAAAUGCCUACUUUUUAGGCUUUGUCUUGAUUUUUUUUCUUUUCAUAGGCCAUGUAUCCCAAAUCUUUAUAAAAGAGAAUAACAAAAACACAUACAGAUAAAACUGAUAUCCUUUUUCUUUUUUUUUUUUUUUUUUCUUCCCCUUUUUUUUUUUUUUUGAGGCAGAGUCUCACUCUGUCACCCCGGCUGGAAUGCAAUGGCGUGAUCAUUACAGUCUCAAUUACAGCAGCGAUACAUCACUGUAGCCUCGAUCUCCUGGGCUCAAGCAAUCCUCCCAUCUCAGCCUCCCAAGGAGCUGCGACUGCAGCUCCUGUAUCAAUACAUCCUGUACUAGAGGACAAUAAUCAAAUGAGUUUUUGGAGGAGGAGAUGGGAUCGGAGUGUGCUGAGAGUACUUCACACAUUGAGGGUCACUUACAUCAUAGAGCUGCCUCAUCUACGCCUCUGCCACAACAACCCUGGGAGGGGCAUCUUGACAUGGAAAGAGUGCGGCUCAGGAAGACUGCGUGACUUACCCGAGGUCACAUGGCCUGUAGGCAACUGAACCAGUCCUUGAAUUCAGAGCUGCCUGAAUCAAGCUCCCACAUUUUCAACAUGUGACCACACUCCUCCACGCUGAGGAUGUUUCUGCUUGCAAACUGGUGUUUUUCUGGAAGAACAAAGAAGGCCAUACCAGACAAAUCUGCCUUAUAAUGAAAAAACCACCUUAUUCCAUAUGGGUAAGCCUGGGGACCAGGUGCCUGGACCUGUGAGGUGAGUGUGACUCCGGGGAGGAGAGGAACACAGCCAGGCUGCCUCACCUACCUCCCCUAGGCAGCGGCCCCCGAGUGGAUCCACACAAACCGCAAGGACUUUUGGAAUGGACUGAAUUGUGUCCCCCACAAAAUUCACAGGUUGAAGCCCUAUCCACCAGUGUGACUGCAUUAGGAAACAGGGUCUGUAAGGAGGUAAUGAAGGUUAAAUGAGGCCAGGCUGGGAGCAGUGGCUCAUGCCUGUAAUUCCAGCACUUUGGGAGGCU